rnacentral:pre_miRNA from 1 species
CUCGGGGGAGGGGUGUCCCUCAGCCUGGAUUGCAAGAGUCUGCAGGCUGGCUGAGGGACCCCACCUGUGCACA